GGAUACUGGUAUUGCUGUGUGCCCCUGUGCUGUGUGUUCCUGCCAGACUACUCUCAGAUCCCAGAGGAGCUACUGACUACUCAUCAGAUAUAAAAAGGAAACAACAAGCCUAUUUGAUUUCAGGUGUAUAAAAAAUGACACACCUCAACCUAUACAGCUGGAUGUUGCUGCUAAGUCUAUACUGGCUUCAAGCUACGUCACAGACUCUGGGAAAACAGAAGGUGCAAGGAUCUGAUUGUUCUGAUAUCUGGAAAAGAGACCUAAACUCACCCAGUGGAAUCUACACCAUAAAACCAGUUGGAGCAUAUGCCUCUUUUCAGGUGUUCUGUGAAAUGACAGCGACCGGUGGUUGGACCAUGAUACAAAAACACAAUGGAGAGGACGGGUUGUCUUUUGACCAAACGUGGGCUAACUAUGAAAAGGGAUUUGGAAGUCUUGGAGGUGAGCACUGGCUGGGUCUCGGUUACAUUUAUCGCCUGACCCAACAAAAACGCAGACCCUGCACGCUGCACAUCAGCCUUGGGGACUUUGCCGGUAAUGAAGCAUACGCAGAGUAUGGACCCUUCAGUGUUGGGGAUGGCAAAGACUUCUACAAGCUCUCAGCAGGAACCUAUUCAGGCACAGCGGGCGAUGGCUUCCGUGGGGACAUCGGAACGAAAGCAACCAAUCAGCACGGCAGCUAUUUCAGCAGUUGGGACCAGCCUCAUGACGGAUGUCACCCAGUGUGUUCCAUCGGAAGCCUCUUGUAUCAGAGCUGCAGUUCCUAUCAGAAUUCUGGAUGGUGGUUUAAUGCCUGUGGAACAACAAACCUGAAUGGUGACUGGCACAGUCCACCGAACAAUAUGUACUGGAUGUCUUCAUUGUCCUGGUCAACCUGGAGACCCUACGAGUCCCUGAAAUUCAGCAAGAUGUAUCUGAUUUACAAUUAGUGGGAAAACGUUAGCCAUGGCUACGGACGCUGACAACCUACGCACACAAUCCGGAUGUGAUGCAGUAUCCGCAAGUGGACCUGCCGUGCGUGAGGGCCACCACAUGAGGUGAUGACUGCAGACUCCCUUCUCGGAAAACUGGCCACAAGUUCCUGGACAACAGCAGGCGGUAUGUUUUGCCACUCUGCCUUAAGUAUAGUGACCAACUGCGACACUGAAGAUCGAAUCAUCCUAGAACACACUUGUCGAUCCAAUUCGUCCCAGAGACUCAGUGGGGUUAAGAUCUGGACUCUAAUCGUCGCCCUGGAAACUUGACAUUGCGCAGCCUACAAUGAUCCCCCAUUCAAACUCUGCUAGCUCCUUCCAGCAGGCCAUUUCGUUAGCAUACGAUCCAAUCGGUGCUCCUCUACCUGUUUCAUACCUUCACGAACACGUCUGCUGGUGCAUGCGCGGCUGGGGGGGGAAGGUGGAGGGG